CUUGACUGCCUUGAGUGUCUCUCUCUACCCUCUCAGAAAAUCAAAGAUGCGGAGCAUAAAAUAAGUAGAUAGACAGAUCUAAGUUGUUGUAAAAGAAGAUGAAGAAACAUCAAGAGAUGCAAGGUGUUGGGAAAAAAAUUACUAAUAAAUCUAGGGCGUUUUGGUUGCUGCUAAACACUCAGAAGAGCAGAAAGAAAAGGAAAAAGAAACAAAAUGGUUUAUAUACAGAUCUUGAUAAUUGGUUUGGUAUGAGCGGUAUCGGAAAAGUUAUAAUGAAAAUUUCUUACUAUUCCUUCAUCGCUGUGAUGUGCGCGUAGUAAUAUGCGAUGAAGAAAGGAAGAAAGGUUUAAAGGUGAAGGAAUUCCAGAUCCGGAUGCACAGUCAUUAGAAACAAUUCAAAGUUUUUGUGGCUACAAAGUUUAGUUGAUAUCUUCGGUUACGAGGAAUCAAUCAGAGCUCAGGAUCUCCUCACCUGAAGCAUCAUGAUGUCCAGCUUUCUCAAUCAAUAUGGAUUCUAUUGCGUCAAAGAAAUCCAACAAAACACGAUUGAUGGUUUCGCUUUGCAUAAGAUUUCAAUGAGGAAUCAGAAACAGAUUAAAGCUUGUUUCGCUUUGAAUAAGAUUGAUAGUUUGUAGAAAGAGUUGAAGGCAUUGGAAGCUACUGCAAAUGCUCAGAAGAAAGAGAUUGAGACCCUCGAGUUGAUGGAGAUGUGUUAUGCCAAAGAAAGAAACAAGAUCUUGGAGGAGUUGUCUGCAGCUGCAUCAACACCUUGGUACAAGAAGCAAAUCAACCAGUAUGAAGAAGAAGAUUAAGCAGAGAAAUUUCACGGCAUUUUGUUUCAAAGGCCAGAAAGACAGACAACUACUGGCUCCGUUAGGAGUUUGCUGGUCGAAAGAAGACCAGCAACAGGCACAGUUGGUGGAGGAUUUAUAGAGAAACGUAUCCUCCUCCCUUGGAGAGCAAAGGAGUAACAUCAAGGCAGUUUUUUGUCAGUAAUAUAACUCUUGCAUCUUUCGUGGGAAAGACAAUACAUACGGAAUAACUCGGUUGUGAUGACGAUGGACCUAGUGGAGACAAUCAAACAUGAUAUUUUGAUGACACUGUGGUGUUGCUAAACAAUCUUGGCAGUUCAGCAAGCUUGGGAGAAUAAGGUGCGCCCAAACUUAAGGUGAACAUACUCAACUGAACCUGCAACUUUAUCCUUCUUUGGUCGUUGGCAUAUGAUGUGAAUAAUCAUGGGAUCACUAUUUCCUUAAAUUAUGUUUGCUUGUUUUGUGUGCCAUGUGACUGAUGCAAGGAUUGCAUCUUGCAUCUUACUAUCACACUCAUGGUAGUUGCAACACUGGUAGUGCCAUGUUGAAUGGUGUACUAUUAUUUGGUUAACUCAUCAUAUAUUAUUUGAUGUGCACUAUUUAUAUUUAGAAGAAAUUUACUUCCCUGGUACGUA